rnacentral:rRNA from 1 species
UACAGAGACUGCAAGCGUUAUUCGGAUUCACUGGGCGUAAAGGGUGCGCAGGCGGUUGGGUGUGUCAGAUGUGAAAUCCCGAGGCUCAACCUCGGAACUGCGUCUGAAACUACUCGACUAGAGUACUGGAGAGGGAAACGGAAUUCACGGUGUAGCAGUGAAAUGCGUAGAUAUCGUAAGGAAGACCAGUGGCGAAGGCGAAUCUCUGGACAGUUACUGACACUGAGGCACGAAGGCCAGGGGAGCAAACGGG